CAGCCGUAAACUAUGCGCGUUAGGUGUACUGGUGACCACGAGUCACCGGGGUGCCGAAGGGAAACCGUGAAACGUGCCGCCUGGGAAGUACGGUCGCAAGGCUGAAACUUAAAGGAAUUGGCGGGGGAGCACCGCAACGGGAGGAGCGUGCGGUUUAAUUGGAUUCAACACCGUAAAACUCACCAGGGAAGACUGUUACAUGAAGGCCGAGAUGAAGACUCUGCUAGAUUUUCAGAGAGGUGGUGCAUGGCGUCAGUGACU
rnacentral:rRNA from 1 species